AAAAAAUGCCUCUAUUUCCCAUCUACUUGACAGUUAUGUCUCUAUAAUCCCCUUCCCUAGGGAGAGAAGGCCUAACUAGUAAUAUAGGAAAUUCAAUCUCUCUGCUAGCUUCAAAUCAAAGCUUGACUAAGCAGGAUAGGAAGCAGCGAAGCUAAGUAGCAUGUCAGGGAAGGGAUUAGCUGGGAAAACUUGAUGAGCAAUUGUGUCUUGCCAUGCUUAUAAAUGUUAAAGCAGAAGGGGAUAACAUGGUAUCUGUAGGAACAGUACCUAUGAACAUUAUCCAGGGAGCUGCUUUGGUAUAUACAUGUAUGAAAGUUUUGGCUCUGACAAGGGCUCUACAACUCUCGCAUAAAAAUUAAUGGAUCGGUGCUGAUUAUUGCAGAUUACAUACAAUGAAGCUUUAUUCCAAAAACAUCUGUAGAUCAUUUUGCUAGUACAAUCGCAACUAGUUAUAUAUGAGACAUCAGCAUCGGAGCUGGAUAUAAUUAGAGAUAUUUCUCGGACCUUCCCAUCUCAUGUUCUCUUCCAGCAGAGACAUGGUCCUGGUCAAAGGUCGCUGUACAAUGUUUUGAAGGCUUACUCUGUGUAUGAUAGAGAUGUUGGAUAUGUUCAGGGGAUGGGAUUUUUAGCUGGUUUGCUGCUUCUUUAUAUGAGUGAAGAGGAUGCUUUUUGGUUGCUGGUUGCAUUGCUGAAAGGAGCGGUCCAUGCUCCAAUGGAGGGAUUAUAUCAGUUAAAGAUUGCAAGCCAACAGAAGUUUCUUGUGCUAACCAGCUCAUAAAGAUUUUGGCUGACACAGAAUUCUUAUCCAGCCAGAUUGGGUUGGUAGUGGGACAUCAUCACAGAAUUAGGGCAACAGAAAUGCUUCAUCUGUGUCAUCAUCGAGAAAACGUGCAGUUGCAAAAUUGUUCAUGAGCAUCCUUAAACACCUGUAGAAUAGUUGAAGAUAUAUGUUGUCUGGUCCCCUGUGCUAAGCCUGCAGAUACACAUUUCUUGGAAGCAUCAUGAUUAGUUUUUCAAUAAGAAGAUAGAUAUCAAGAGCACCAUUGAAGAA